GGGCGACUGAAGCGGGAAGAGCUCAGGAUGUGAAUCUGCGCUAUGCGCCGAAUUGUGGUCUGGAGACGGUGGCGCUACCAGCCGGGCCAAGUCCCUUGGAACAGGGCAGCUGAGAGGGUGAGACUCCCGUUCGCCUGGCAGGGUGAGCUACUAGUCAACGAGUCGAGUUGUUUGGGAUUGCAGCUCAAAGCGGGUGGUAAAUUCCAUCUAAAGCUAAAUAUUGGUGGGAGACCGAUAGCGUACAAGUACCGUGAGGGAAAGAUGCAAAGAACUUUGAAAAGAGAGUUAAAGAGUACCUGAAAUUGCUGAAAGGGAAGCGAAGGAAACCAGUGUUUGCCUGUUCAUAUUUCCCCGUCCGCUUGCGGAUGGGGCGUUGUGUCCGGCUUGAGUUGUUCUUGGUUGUCACCUUUGGAAGAGCGCAGUGAGAGUUGAUCUCUGUUGCUAGCACUGGUGAUGACUGAGAAGGACGANAUGGUUUUCUUUACCCCGUCUUGACACACGGACCANGGANUCUAACAUAUGUGCGAGUACNGGGGGUGGCAAACCCCCCG
rnacentral:rRNA from 1 species